UACGGAGGGUGCAAGCGUUAAUCGGAAUUACUGGGCGUAAAGCGCGCGUAGGCGGCUUCGUAAGUCGGGUGUGAAAUCCCUCGGCUUAACCGGGGAACUGCGUCUGAUACUGGAUGGCUUGAGUUUGGGAGAGGGAUGCGGAAUUCCAGGUGUAGCGGUGAAAUGCGUAGAUAUCUGGAGGAAAACCGGUGGCGAAGGCGGCAUCCUGGACCAACACUGACGCUGAGUGAGCGAAAGCCAGGGGAGCAAACGGG
rnacentral:rRNA from 1 species